rnacentral:rRNA from 1 species
UACGGGGGGGGCAAGCGUUGUUCGGAAUUACUGGGCGUAAAGGGCUCGUAGGCGGUCUGUUGCGUCGGGAGUGAAAACUUACAGCUUAACUGUGAGCGUGCUUUCGAUACGGGCAGACUUGAGGCAUUCAGGGGAGAACGGAAUUCCUGGUGUAGCGGUGAAAUGCGCAGAUAUCAGGAGGAACACCAAUUGCGAAGGCAGCUCGCUGGGACGUUACUGACGCUGAGACGCGAAAGCGUGGGGAGCAAACAGG